rnacentral:rRNA from 1 species
ACGGAGGAUGCAAGCGUUAUCCGGAUUUAUUGGGUUUAAAGGGUGCGCAGGUGGUUAAAUAAGUCAGUGGUGAAAGUCUGCCGCUUAACGGUAGGAUUGCCAUUGAUACUGUUUAACUUGAGUUUAGGUGAGGUAGGCGGAAUGUGUAGUGUAGCGGUGAAAUGCAUAGAUAUUACACAGAACACCGAUUGCGAAGGCAGCUUACUAAUCUACAACUGACACUGAGGCACGAAAGCGUGGGGAUCAAACAG